rnacentral:rRNA from 3 species
GCCGAUGUCUGAUUAGCUAGUUGGUAAGGUAAUGGCUUACCAAGGCGACGAUCAGUAGUUGGUCUGAGAGGACGACCAGCCACACUGGGACUGAGACACGGCCCAGACUCCUACGGGAGGCAGCAGUGGGGAAUUUUGGACAAUGGGCGCAAGCCUGAUCCAGCAAUGCCGCGUGAGUGAAGAAGGCCUUAGGGUUGUAAAGCUCUUUCAGUUGAGAAGAAAAGAUUGUGACUAAUAAUCAUAAUUCAUGACGGUAUCAACAGAAGA